rnacentral:rRNA from 1 species
CCUACGGGAGGCAGCAGUGAGGAAUAUUGGUCAAUGGACGCAAGUCUGAACCAGCCAUGCCGCGUGCAGGAAGACGGCUCUAUGAGUUGUAAACUGCUUUUGUACGAGGGUAAACGGAGAUACGCGUAUCUGUCUGAAUGUAUCGUACGAAUAAGGAUCGGCUAACUCCGUGCCAGCAGCCGCGGUAAUACGGAGGAUUCAAGCGUUAUCCGGAUUUAUUGGGUGUAAAGGGUGCGUAGGCGGGCGGGUAAGUUAGAUGUGAAAUCCCGAGGCUCAACUUCGGAAUUGCAUCUGAUACUGGUCGGCUAGAGAGUAGUAGAGGUAGGCGGAAUGUAUGGUGUAGCGGUGAAAUGCUUAGAGAUCAUACAGAAUACCGAUUGCGAAGGCAGCUUAC